rnacentral:rRNA from 1 species
AGGGUGUAAACGCUGCCGACUUGGUGUUGGAGGCCCUUCGGGGGCAUUCAGUGCCGGAGAGAAGUUGUUAAGUCGGCCACUUGGGAGUACGUCCGCAAGGAUGAAACUUAAAGGAAUUGGCGGGGGAGCACCGCAACGGGAGGAGCGUGCGGUUUAAUUGGAUUCAACACCGGAAACUCACCAAGGGCGACUGUUACAUGAAAGUCAGGUUGAUGACCUUACUAGAUUUUCAGAGAGGUGGUGCAUGGCGUCAGUGACU